CGGAAUGUCAAGACCAAAAUAACUGUGAAUGACACACCUCGCUAUGAUGAACUGUGCUAACCCAACCUGGGCGUGAGGAUUAAGAUGAACUCUAGCAGCCAGAUAGGUGCUGCUCGAUAACUAUGUGAACAGUGAGGUUUUACUGAUCAUUUGUUAAAAAACAAAAACAAAAAAACCUACCAUGUUCAGUUCCCUUCACUACAUGCCCUUGUGGUUUUUUAUUUAAAUGUUAACUGUAGAGUAUCAGGUACGGGAUGUCUUCUAGCUAUUGCUUUUUAUCGAAUACAUCAGGAUGGUAGAAAGCAAUUCUACAGAAAAUUGAGACCUAGUUGGGAUGUUUUAGUAGAAUUCUGAAGAAUGACAAUGUAAAGGUUGACAUAGGACAAUGGGUGAUAGGUUUCAUUAAGUAGCUGAACUAGAUCUCUGCGUGCCUAGAUGUGUUGAUAUUUACCUCAAGGUCUCUUCAGAACAGAUGGCUUCCUCCCCACCCCACAACCCUGCCUCCCUCUCCCCCUUCAUUUUCC
rnacentral:lncRNA from 1 species